GGAAAAAAUAUGUGAGUCUGCUAUAGAAAAGAAGUAGGUAUUUUACAGAUGAAGAAAUGGAGGGCUGAAGAGACCAUGUGAUUUGCCCAAGAUCACACAGCUGUAAGUUAUUUUUGAGGAGGAGCUGCUUUACAAUAGAAUGGAGAGGAAAGAACUGGGGUGAUACCUAAGACGAGAACAUCAAGAUACUAUUAAAGAUCACUGGGCUACUCAAGACGCACAGGCUAGCAGUGUGACCAUGAACAAGUGACUUCUGUGGGCCACAGCUUCC
rnacentral:lncRNA from 1 species